rnacentral:rRNA from 1 species
AGAGUUUGAUCCUGGCUCAGGAUGAACGCUAGCGGCAGGCCUAAUACAUGCAAGUCGAGGGGCAGCAGGCUGUAGCAAUACAGUGCUGGCGACCGGCAGACGGGUGCGUAACACGUAUGCAACCUCCCCCUUUCCAGGGCAUAGCCCGAAGAAAUUCGGAUUAAUUCCCUAUACUAUCCUUUAGUGGCAUCACUAGAGGAUGAAAGCUCCGGCAGAAAGGGAUGGGCAUGCGUCUGAUUAGCUUGUUGGCGGGGUAACGGCCCACCAAGGCAACGAUCAGUAGGGGAUCUGAGAGGAUGAACCCCCACACGGGCACUGAGAUACGGGCCCGACUCCUACGGGAGGCAGCAGUAGGGAAUAUUGGGCAAUGGAGGCAACUCUGACCCAGCCAUGCCGCGUGCAGGAUGAAGGCCCUCUGGGUUGUAAACUGCUUUUUACAGGGAACAAAUCUCUCUUGCGAGGGAGGCUGAGGGUACCUGUAGAAUAAGCCACGGCUAACUACGUGCCAGCAGCCGCGGUAAUACGUAGGUGGCAAGCGUUGUCCGGAUUUACUGGGUUUAAAGGGUGCGCAGGUGGCCAAUCAAGUCCGUGUUGAAAGAGCUAGGCUUAACCUAGUAAACGGCAUGGAUACUGACUGGCUUGAGGCUAGAGGAGGUAAGCGGAAUGUAGGGUGUAGCGGUGAAAUGCUUAGAUACCCUACAGAACUCCUAUUGCGAAGGCAGCUUACUACACUACGCCUGACGCUCAGGCACGAAAGCGUGGGGAGCAAACAGGAUUAGAUACCCUGGUAGUCCACGCCC